UGGCUCAGUGGUUAAAGUGCUAGGCUGCUAACCGACAGGUCGGUGGUUCAAACCCACC
rnacentral:tRNA from 1 species